rnacentral:rRNA from 1 species
UACGUAGGGUGCGAGCGUUAAUCGGAAUUACUGGGCGUAAAGCGUGCGCAGGCGGUGAUGUAAGACCGAUGUGAAAUCCCCGGGCUUAACCUGGGAACUGCAUUGGUGACUGCAUCGCUGGAGUACGGUAGAGGGGGAUGGAAUUCCGCGUGUAGCAGUGAAAUGCGUAGAUAUGCGGAGGAACACCGAUGGCGAAGGCAAUCCCCUGGACCUGUACUGACGCUCAUGCACGAAAGCGUGGGGAGCAAACAGG